CUUUAACUGGAGGCUCAGAGUCCUCAGCUGUGUGAUCUGUUGCUUGGUUAUCCUGUACUGCUCAGCUCUGAAAGAUCUGUAAGUUGAGUGCUGGCUGUUUUUUUGUUCAGGAUGCCUUUCUCUGAAUGCACAGUCACUGCAGUCACUCCUUAGACAGAAUCGCUUCCGUGGUUUUGAUCCAUGAGCCUCCAGACUGAAAAACAGGAGGAGGAGGGUGGGUUAGAGACUCCCUGACAUGCAGAAGCUCAAAGUUGCCAUGCCCACUGUUGGAUUCCAUAAUAUCUCUAGGCCAGAUCUCCUGCCUUAGGAAUGUGGUCCUAGGAAGUAAAACUCCAGGACCUGCCUGGAUUAAGGAAUUAAAGCUGCUUGCCAUGUGGUCAGGUAAGCCCCAAAGCCUUCCUGAUGCUUCAGAAUAUAGGGAGAAGAGCAGGACUAUCCCUUUCACUACCACCAAGACAUUUAAUCAGCUUAGCUCUCUAUAAUCUAACUACAUCUUUGGUGACCUCCAGACCAGUCUUACUAACCAGACAUGAAUAAUUUCUGUGCAAAAAUAGUCUGAUUUAGAAUAUAUCUCACUACAUUUGGGUGACAAAAUAUUUUAGGAGACAUUAUGUUAACCCUCCUGCAUAUCAUGCAGCAGAUGGACUAAAGUUCAAUGACAGGAUGCUGUUUUGGAGAGAGGUAUUUUGUGUAGACAAGAAAAGCUCUUGCCAACAAGAAAAAAACCCCAAAAAACAGAUGCACUUCUUCUGCACCAGGAAAACAGAGGAAAAAAUUUAAUAACAAAAAGAAAAGUAGUUGUGAAGACUCUAAUAACACUACCUGUGAUAGGAGUUACCGCAUGAAGUUACUUUCACUGAUUGUUGUUUCACAAAUAAUGUCAAGUCUUACAGUCCUCUCAUAUUUUUCCCACAAGUCUUAUAUUUGGGUUACACCUACUGGGAAGCACCAGCAGAUCAUCUUCAAAAUGUUCCACAUAAUAGCACUGAGUUUAUAA